rnacentral:rRNA from 1 species
UACGGAGGGUGCAAGCGUUAUCCGGAUUCACUGGGUUUAAAGGGUGCGUAGGUGGGCAGUUAAGUCAGUGGUGAAAUCUCCGAGCUUAACCUGGGAAUGGCCGUUGAAACUGGCGAACUGGAGUGUGGCAGAGGGGGGUGGAAUUCCGCGUGUAGCAGUGAAAUGCGUAGAGAUGCGGAGGAACACCGAUGGCGAAGGCAGCCCCCUGGGCUAACACUGACGCUCAGGCACGAAAGCGUGGGGAGCAAACAGG